AGAGUUUGAUCAUGGCUCAGAACGAACGCUGGCGGCAUGGAUUAGGCAUGCAAGUCGAACGAUGAAGGAGAGCUUGCUCUCUGGAUUAGUGGCGAAAGGGUGAGUAACGCGUGAGUAAGCUGCCCUCAAGUUGGGAAUAAUUCACCGAAAGGUGGACUAAUACCGGAUACGGUUAUAACAGAGCAUUUUGUAAUAACUAAAGAUUUAUCGCUUGAGGAUGUGCUCGCGUCCCAUUAUGUUUGUUGGUGAGGUAACGGCUCACCAAGACUAUGACGGGUAGGUGGUCUGAGAGGAUGGUCACCCACACUGGGACUGAGACACUGCCCAGACUCCUACGGGAGGCUGCAGUCGAGAAUCUUCCGCAAUGGGCGAAAGCCUGACGGAACAAUGCCGCGUGUAGGAUGAAGGCCUUUGGGUCGUAAACUACUGUCACAGGGGAUGAAUAAAAUGACAGUACCCUGAGAGGAAGCCACGGCUAACUACGUGCCAGCAGCCGCGGUAAUACGUAGGUGGCGAGCGUUGUUCGGAUUUAUUGGGCGUAAAGGGUUCGUAGGGGGCAUUCUAAGUUUGAUGUGAAAUCCCGAGGCUUAA
rnacentral:rRNA from 1 species